rnacentral:rRNA from 1 species
UACGGAGGGUGCAAGCGUUAUCCGGAUUCACUGGGUUUAAAGGGUGCGUAGGAGGGCAGGUAAGUCAGUGGUGAAAUCUCCAAGCUUAACUUGGAAACUGCCGUUGAUACUAUCUGUCUUGAAUACCGUGGAGGUGAGCGGAAUAUGUCAUGUAGCGGUGAAAUGCUUAGAUAUGACAUAGAACACCAAUUGCGAAGGCAGCUCGCUACACGAAUAUUGACUCUGAGGCGCGAAAGCUAGGGGAGCAAACGGG